rnacentral:rRNA from 1 species
UCGAGCGAGCGGUUUCAUGAAGUUUUCGGAUGGAAUUGAAAUUGACUUAGCGGCGGACGGGUGAGUAACGCGUGGGUAACCUGCCUUACACUGGGGGAUAACAGUUAGAAAUGACUGCUAAUACCGCAUAAGCGCACAGGGCCGCAUGGUCUGGUGUGAAAAACUCCGGUGGUGUAAGAUGGACCCGCGUCUGAUUAGGUAGUUGGUGGGGUAACGGCCCACCAAGCCGACGAUCAGUAGCCGACCUGAGAGGGUGACCGGCCACAUUGGGACUGAGACACGGCCCAAACUCCUACGGGAGGCAGCAGUGGGGAAUAUUGGACAAUGGGCGAAAGCCUGAUCCAGCGACGCCGCGUGAGUGAAGAAGUAUUUCGGUAUGUAAAGCUCUAUCAGCAGGGAAGAAAAUGACGGUACCUGACUAAGAAGCCCCGGCUAACUACGUGCCAGCAGCCGCGGUAAUACGUAGGGGGCAAGCGUUAUCCGGAUUUACUGGGUGUAAAGGGAGCGUAGACGGUUAAGCAAGUCUGAAGUGAAAGCCCGGGGCUCAACCCCGGUACUGCUUUGGAAACUGUUUGACUUG